GACGAACCGUGCGAACGUUAUUCGGAAUCAUUGGGCUUAAAGAGCGCGUAGGCGGCGACGUAAGUUGGAAGUGAAAUCCCAUCGGCUCAACCGUGGAAUCGCUCCCAGUACUGCGUUGCUCGAGGGAGAUAGGGGCCUGUGGAACUGCCGGUGGAGCGGUGAAAUGUGUUGAUAUCGGCGGGAACGCCAGUGGCGAAAGCGACAGGCUGGACCUUUCUGACGCUGAGGCGCGAAAGCUAGGGGAGCAAACGGG
rnacentral:rRNA from 1 species